rnacentral:rRNA from 1 species
UACGAAGGGGGCUAGCGUUGCUCGGAAUCACUGGGCGUAAAGGGUUGCGUAGGCGGGUCUUUAAGUCAGGGGUGAAAUCCUGGAGCUCAACUCCAGAACUGCCUUUGAUACUGAGGAUCUUGAGUUCGGGAGAGGUGAGUGGAACUGCGAAGUGUAGAGGUGAAAAUUCGUAGAUAUUCGCAAGAACACCAGUGGCGAAGGCGGCUCACUGGCCCGAUACUGACGCUGAGGCACGAAAGCGUGGGGAGCAAACAGG